CCUACGGGAGGCUGCAGUGAGGAAUAUUGGUCAAUGGGCGGAAGCCUGAACCAGCCAAGUAGCGUGCAUGAUGACGGCCCUACGGGUUGUAAACUGCGUUUAUACGGGAAUAACGCGCCUUACGUGUAGGGCUGUGCAUGUACCGUAUGAAUAAGGACGGGCUAAUUCCGUUCCAGCAGCCGCGGUAAUACGGAAGGUCCGGGCGUUAUCCGGAUUUAUUGGGUUUAAAGGGAGCGUAGGCGGCAUGUCAAGCGUGCUGUGAAAUGUCCGGGCUGAACCCGGGCCUUGCAGCGCAAACUGGAGUGCUUGAGUCCGCGGAAGGCAGGCGGAAUUCGUAGUGUAGCGGUGAAAUGCUUAGAUAUGACGAAGAACCCCGAUUGCGAAGGCAGCUUGCUGCAGCGGAACUGACGCUGAUGCUCGAAAGCGCGGGUAUCGAACAGGAUUAGAUACCCCUGUAGUC
rnacentral:rRNA from 1 species